UCUCGACCCUCUGUGUCAAGAAGUUAACACGAUAAGCAUUCCGCNUGGGGAGUACGAACGCAAGUUUAAAACUCAAAGGAAUUGANGGGGACCCGCACCAAGCAGUGGAGUAUGUGGUUUAAUUCGAUGCUAAGCGAAGAACCUUACCGAGGCUUGACAUCCUGCGAAGGCAGUCGAAAGACAGCUGUGCCUUCGGGAACGCAGUGACAGGUGCUGCAUGGCCGUCGUCAGCUCGUGUCGUGAGAUGUUGGGUUAAGUCCCGCAACGAGCGCAACCCUUGUUAAGUGUUGUAUUAUCACUUAAGACUGCCCCGGCAACCGGGGAGGAAGGUGAGGAUGACGUCUGGUCAGCAUGGCCCUUACGCCUCGGGCUACACACGUACUACAAUGGCUACUACAAUGCGUUUGCCAAGCGGCAACGUGGAGCUAAUCGCAUCAAAAGUAGUCUCAGUUCGGAUUGAGGGCUGAAACUCGCCCUCAUGAAGUCGGAAUUGCUAGUAAAGGCGAAUCAGCAUGUCGCCUUGAAUACGUUCCCGGGUCUUGUACACACCGCCCGUCAAAUCACGAAAGUUGGAAGUACCCGAAGCGCCCUUUUGGGUUCUAAGGUAAGUCCAGCGAUUGGGGUUAAGUCGUAACCAAGGUACC
rnacentral:rRNA from 1 species